rnacentral:rRNA from 1 species
GCCAACACUGGGACUGAGACACUGCCCAGACUCCUACGGGAGGCUGCAGUCGAGAAUCUUUCGCAAUGGGCGCAAGUCCUGACGAAGCGACGCCCGGAUGUGAACGAUAGAAGGCCUUCGGGUUGUAAAGUUCUUUCGCCAUGUGGGAACAAG